rnacentral:rRNA from 1 species
UACGUAGGGCGCAAGCGUUGUCCGGAAUUAUUGGGCGUAAAGAGCUCGUAGGUGGUUUGUCACGUUGUUCGUGAAAACCCACAGCUCAACUGUGGGCGUGCGAGCGAUACGGGCAGACUAGAGUACUGCAGGGGAGACUGGAAUUCCUGGUGUAGCGGUGGAAUGCGCAGAUAUCAGGAGGAACACCGGUGGCGAAGGCGGGUCUCUGGGCAGUAACUGACGCUGAGGAGCGAAAGCGUGGGGAGCGAACAGG